AAUAAUAAAUUACAAAAGUGUAACAGAAAUGGCGGAGGAGCGUAAACAAGAAAAAGGCAAAAAGAGAUGGAGGGAGAGAGACGGGUGGCUGGCUGGCUGGCCAUGCCAUGCCAGGACUGAGUGAGGAAUCGAUCCUUUGGUAAGUAGUCCCAUCUGGGCCUGCCUCUGGCUACACAUCCAUCCCCCCGCGUUGCACUUGCAUUGCAUUUACAUGCCCAAGUUUAUCUUCUGUUUAUGCGACAUAACUCACAGUUAAUAAUAAUAAUAAUAAUAACAAUGUAAACUUAAUUAGUUGGGUUGGGCUGUUGAUGAAGCGGCUGAUUGAGCAGGAAGGUCCAAAUGCAAUCCGCACCCUCAUUCUCCAAGCCAUCAUCAUCUUGAUUAAGAUCUCGAGGACUUCG
rnacentral:lncRNA from 1 species